CGCCGCCACUAGGGGCGGUUCCAGCCACCGUCGCCAUGGCGUAUCCUUCGGCCAAUUCCUGGCGGCAUUUCGCGGCGGCGCACGGAUCCGGCCUGCGCGGCUCCGCGGCGGUGCCAGGACGCGACCCCGCGGCGGCGGGCGGGCACGGCCUUGGCGCGUGCCCCCCAGGCAGCGUGGCGCCCCCGACGGCCAGGGCGCGGCCCACUGGCGCGUGGCCGGCCAUGGCGGCCCCUGGCGGCGCGGUCCCGCGCGGGUGCGUCCCCCGACGGCCUGGGCGCGGCCGUCCCUCGGCUCAGACGGCCCUCGGCCAGGGCGGGCGGGCACGACCAGCGCGUGCGGGCGGCCUCCUCCGGCCAAGGCGGCGCGUGUGUGGCCCAGGCUUGGGCGCGCAGGCACGCCGGCCGGGCAGGUGUGUCCACUGCCAGCGCGGGCGCGCAGCCCCGGCACGGCCUCCCAGCGGCGUGGCCGUGGCUUAUGCUUGGGCGCGCGGGCACGGCGGCCGGCGUGGGCAGUGGCCCCGACGCGCGGCCCCGCGGCGGCUCGGAAAGUCGGCCCUGGCGCCCGUGGGCGCGGCCUCACUCCGGCGGCGCGGCCCCUGCUAGUCGCGUGGCGCGCGACCGCUCUCCGGCGGCGCAGCCCAGGCCAGAUGCGCGCGCAGGCCCGGCGGCGGCCUCGGAUGCGGCCAUGGCGCGCCCGGCACGCGCGGGCGCAGUCCCAGCUAUCUAGCGCGGGCUCGGCCCCGGCCCCCUGGCGCGCGUCCCUGGCGCAGGCGAGGCCCUGUCGCAUGCACAGCGGCCUAUGCGAGGGAGCGGACACGGGCACACGGCUCAAGUGGCGCGGACGAGACCAGCCUGGCCUCCUUCGUCAGCGCCGCAGCCGCAGCGUCCGUCGAGGCGAUGGCGCAGAGUAGAGACAAUAUUGCUUCAGUUUCGUAAUAGGUUACUCACUGAAAGAGUCGCGCAGGAGCAGGUCCGGCCUAGCGAUGCUAGCAUGCUGCCUCUUCGCGGUCUGUCAACGCCAAUCGUGAUCUUGCUUGUUCGUCUUGGCCUUCGUUGGAGAGCGUCGUGUCAUCAACGUUCUCCAACUAUGAGCGAUCUGUUUUCUUCCUACCAACAGCCACUUCUCUCUGUUCUCUCAAGCAAAAGUGCUGAUAACGUGUUAAAGUAUACUCAGUGGCAAAUGAGAAUUGAGAGAGACAAA